GACGAACGCUGGCGGCGUGCUUAACACAUGCAAGUCGAACGGAAAGGCCCUGCUUUUGUGGGGUGCUCGAGUGGCGAACGGGUGAGUAACACGUGAGUAACCUGCCCUUGACUUUGGGAUAACUUCAGGAAACUGGGGCUAAUACCGGAUAGGAGCUCCUGCUGCAUGGUGGGGGUUGGAAAGUUUCGGCGGUUGGGGAUGGACUCGCGGCUUAUUAGCUUGUUGGUGGGGUAGUGGCUUACCAAGGCUUUGACGGGUAGCCGGCCUGUGAGGGUGGCCGGCCACAUUGGGACUGAGAUACGGCCCGGACUCCUACGGGAGGCAGCAGUGGGGAAUAUUGCACAAUGGGCGGAAGCCUGAUGCAGCAACGCCGCGUGCGGGAUGACGGCCUUCGGGUUGUAAACCGCUUUCGCCUGUGACGAAGCGUGAGUGACGGUAAUGGGUAAAGAAGCACCGGCUAACUACGUG
rnacentral:rRNA from 1 species